GAAGCCCGUUUCAGAGCUGUGUUUUGAAGCUGAACUUGCUGCAGACGGAGCCAAGCCAGUUUCCACCCCCUGAAAGCAGACAGGCUCCUGUCCUGUCCUCGGGGACCUGAGACCCGCCAUUACCUGCUAAAUGGAAAAGCGUCUGCGACUGCGGCGCCCUCCUGGUUGUUGGAAGGAGGCCUGUUGGGAGGACUCUCCAGGGCAAGGGCUCCAGUUUGGGGUGAUCUCCAGGAUGUACCCCACAGGAUGUGGUGGUCUUGGUGACCCAAGGCUUUGAAGUAGAUUCUCGCCCCUGCGGACCACCUGCUCGGACUCAGGAUGCGACGUCUGAGUUGCUGGGCUGGUUGCCGCCUUAGCUUCCACGACUGGCUUGCUUGCAUGACACCAAGGAAAGUCCCCGAGCUGUGAUUUUCGUCCUUGAUUCCCAAGACCCAGCCCAGGAAGUCGCUGGUCUCCCCCGGAGCUCCAGUCUCUGGGGUGGGUGACGGCACCCGGCCAGGAAACAAAGCGUCUUUGAUCUGAACUUGGACUUAGAGUGUUUCUGAAGCAGGUCCCUAACACUGGCCACCACUCGGGUGUUCCUGGGCCCCUCGGGGGGGCUACGACCCACCGGGACAGGAACAUGUGAGCGCACCUGGAAAGCGGUCCGGCCAGUCCCGUGGUUGAACUUGAACGUGGGGCUGGACCUGUGGUCACUCUUCUCAGGACGCGAUCGAGUUCUUCAAAUAAACACUGUGAAUCUUCUCUUCGA